UAACUGGAGGGAGGUGGGGAUGACGUCAAAUCAUCAUGCCCCUUAUGACCUGGGCUACACACGUGCUACAAUGGGCAGAACAAAGGGCAGCGAAGCCGCGAGGCUAAGCCAAUCCCACAAAUCUGUUCUCAGUUCGGAUCGCAGUCUGCAACUCGACUGCGUGAAGCUGGAAUCGCUAGUAAUCGCGGAUCAGCAUGCCGCGGUGAAUACGUUCCCGGGCCUUGUACACACCGCCCGUCACACCACGAGAGUUUGUAACACCCGAAGUCGGUGAGGUAACCUUUUGGAGCCAGCCGCCGAAGGUGGGACAGAUGAUUGGGGGAAGUACGUAGUCAAGGAGGCC
rnacentral:rRNA from 1 species